GAGCGAUGAUGAAUUUAAAUGUGAUGGUGGGUCCUUCACCGUCUGAUCCUCUGAGGACACGUUGUACAACUGAGCUC